AUGGAUCCCACGGCGCCGCAGCGCGGCACCAAGCGCCCCCUGCCCGCGACCGCCGCCGGGGACGAUGACGAUGACCGCUCCGCUCUCGGGGACCGCAAGGUGCGGUUCCCCAAGGGGAAGAAGGCCAAGUACCGCGACCCUGCUGCCGCUGGCAGCAGCGGGGAGGGGGGCGCCGCCGCGGACGACAUCGACGAGCUGAUGAACCCCGAGCUCGCGGCGGUGAAGCGAGCGCGACGGCGCCACCGCAGGGAAGGGGACGACACGCAGGGCACCGCCAACGUCAAGGGUUUCGAAAUGCGCUACAAGGACGACGCCAACUUUAUCGAUGAUGGUAUUGAGAUAGAACCUUUUAACUUGGAGCAAGAGAGGGAAGAAGGAUACUUUGAUGAAAAUGGGAAUUUUGUGGAGUUUGCAAGAGGCAACGAUAUGAAGGAUGCCUGGUUGGAUAAUGUUGAAGUAGACACCAAAUUUGCUGGAAAGGUUCAAAAGAAAAAAGACAAAGAAGAGGAGUUCCAGGACCUUUCUUCUGAUGAUAUUGGAAAGAUAAAAAGGAGAAUAGCAAACAUGCUUGAACCAGCAGAAACGAUAAUUCAGGCUUUGAAACGAUUGAAGAGUACAUCUACUGACAAUCGUGGAAGAAUGACUGAGGGGACCAAGCGCAUAUUUGAUGAGCUGACAGAAGCUGCCAUGAAGCUAAUGGAGAAUGGGGAGUACAAUGUAUAUUCAGAUGAUCAGGAGACAUUUGUACGCGAGGCUGAGGGUUAUGAACGUCUAGCACGUUCUCGACUUGGCAUACCAGAAGUUGAAGAAGAUAUAUUUGCAGACGCCACAGAGAGUGGCCCAACUACCACGUCCUUACUGGAGAUGGACAGUGGUCCUUCAGCUGCUAAUACCUCUGCGACAACUGCUAUAGCAAAUGAUGAUGAUAGUAACUUUGACAUGUUCGGUGAAAAUGACGACACUGAUGUCAAUCCUGAUUCUGAUGCAAAAACUUUAGAUUCAGAUUGCAAUCCCGAGCCAGUACCACAAGAGGCUUCUGGAACCUCAGGUGCUGAAAAGGUUGGUAAUGGAAGUGCGGACUCAGAUUAUGUCUACGAUCCAUCGUCAGGUUACUAUUACAGCAGCAGGACAGGCUAUUACUAUGAUGCUGCAUCUGGGUGUUAUUGCGCUGCAUCUACAGGAACCUGGUACUCAUAUGACGAACAAUCAGGCACAUACACAGAAAUGCACGGGGAACAAACCGGCAUGCACAAAGAAAUAGAGGGAGAGGUGGUCAAGGAGUAG
rnacentral:rRNA from 1 species